UAUCUGCAGCUGUGAUAUGCUCGGGCUGUGCUGUGCCAGGGAACUCAGAGAUAGAGCCUGCCAUUACACUAAUCAGGGUUGUAAAAUAUGUCAGACUCGAGCCUACAGAAACCAGGUGUCUUAAAGAUAAGUUGUGCAGAACAAAGACAGUUAAUUAACUCUGACCUGCUGGUCACCCCUUAUGAACUGACCAAUAGCAGAUAGAUAAGAUGCCCACCACUCCACACUAACUAUAAUGAUUGGCUUCUGUAAUAAAUGCUUACAUUGCAGUUUUUCCCCCUUAAAAACACCAGCCCUGCCCCAACUCAGAGUUCUCCAUUUCCACCUGUUUGGAGGACCCCGUGUGCACAGAAUAAUAAAGACCCCUUUGUUCUUACAUGAGAGUGAGGCCCUUGGCAUCUCCCUUGUGACACCGGUCUUAUAUUUGGAGGCCCUAGCGAGAUCAAACUAAGAUCAGACCUCCUCGCAAAGGGAGACCCCAACCUCACCUUUCCGGGCCUCUCAUCAAGGCCCCACCAGACUGAUGGAUGUCUAAUUCCUGAGCCAUACAUUAUCAGGCACUAUUUCUGGAAACAGCAGCUUCAAACUCGGCUACUUCGCUGCCUGAGGACGACCCCUCGUCGCCUCACCACAAUUGUACUGAGGUCACUGAUCACCUCAUGGAACAUCAACCUUAUCUAGUGGAUAAGCUACUGUCUAGAGUUCCAUCCUACUUCUCUGAUGAAAGCAGUUAUGUCUCUCAAGAGCCCAUUUGCACUUAAAAAGACCAGCAUCUGGCAGCUCAACUUCUGUGAGAUUCCCGGGGGCUAAUAUCAAGUUAGCCCAGUCUGUGAGCUUCAGAUGCCCUCAGUGCCAAUUGUCUCCUCUAGACUUUUCAGCUAGCUGUGACUUCCAUCCACUGGUUACUUCGCUGCUGCCCACUGUGAGCUAAAGAGCCUAGGCACCUGGACAAGGGACCUCACUGGAAAUCUCUUGAGAGCGACCUCACCCUGAAUCUCUUAAGCCACAAUGGACUGUCAAAGUAGCUGAAAGCCUGCCUGGAUUCAAUGUUCCCACUGCAGACAGGUCCCAACUUCAAAAGACCAUCAGCCUGCGGAUAAGUGAACUGUCAUUUCUUCCAAGGACACUUUAAAGCUUAAGAUUGUCUAAUAUAACUGAUAAUUUUGUGUUCUCCUCCUUUGUAGAGACCCCAAGGAGGCCUUUGUCUGACUUAGAAAUUGUUACUUGCAUGAUAAAACAGAGCAAAUUUAAAUGUUGGUUUUCUUUCUUCUUUUGGUUAACAGCUUUAAUGAAAGCUGCAAGACCUUUGUCAAUCCUCCUAUUGGGCCUUAUGUUGUAAACAAGUUGAUAAACUAUGUCAAAGUUCUUAAAAGCUUGUGAUUUUAAAGACACAUGCAAGGUUAUAAACAGAUGCUAAUGAGUCAAUCAAUGGGAAAUGUUGUACUCUAAGAAAAUAGCUUUGUUAUAUGUGUAUUAUAACGAACCUGUGAAGUGACUUACUAAAUGUUUUUUAUCCUUUUUCCCUAACUGAUAUGUUAAGUGACCUAAUUGAUAUGUUGAGUAACACUCUCCUCUGUAAAGAAUUGCAAGAAUCUCACCUAAUUGAUAUGUUAACCAUUGUUGCCCUCUACAAACUACAGAAGCUGUGCUAAAACAAGCUAACAAGGGUUGUUAAUCACUGCUAGGCGCCUCUAUUCUCCGUUAAAGAAAACUAGAAUGGCAAUUAAUUUACAUUUGUUUAAAAUAACCUGCUUGUGUGCAGAGAGAUUUGCAUGUGAGUUUGGCCCUUUACUCUGACCUUGACACAUAACCGCCAUUUUCUGUUCUGUAUGGCAUCUUAUUGCCUCCCUCUCCCCUCACCUAUCUAUCUAGGCCAUAAAGAAUUUGGGUUUCUGGUGACCUCCCCCUAACCUGGUGAUGAUCUGUCAUAAAAUAAGCCUGCCCCAAAGUUUGAAAACUGUUUAGCUUCAAAAAAAAUUACCGGGUAAUACUGUGGCCCAAACCCCAAAUGGUGCUUUCCUUUUGUUCUGUAUGUAUCAAAUGAGUUAGAUGUCAGAUCUUUGUAAAGUUUGAGUUCCAGCGUCUCAUAGCUCGUGACCCCUUCACACUCACUAAUGAGGGCGAGCUGUCCUGGGAUGAUUGACUUCCCCACUUUCUUCUCCAAAUUUUGCUGCAGAAGUGCCACUCUGGGAUGGUGUUGGUCUGCAGGAUGGGAGUAAUUUGAGAAAACACCGGGGACUCCCGAGAUUGUCAGAGCUAGGCGAACAACAAUACAGUUUCCAGACUCGGUCAACAAGUUUGAUGGCUCUACAGGUUUCUUUAUAAAUCACAUAAUUCAGUUUAUUAACCCCCAAGUCUCUCAGAUGAAAAUAAUGGUCCUUAGACAAUAACAUACUCCCUUAGCUUUAAUUGACCUCAAAGAUUAGAGGUUUUAUGCAGAAGAGGGGGAAUGUAGAACCAGAAAUUUAAAGGUUAAAAAUAAGAUGCUGUUUCUCAGCUAGAAACAGCACUGGGUCUCGUGACUCAGUCCUAACUCAGCCCUGCAGAAAUAAAAACAACCUCUGUGGCUGUGAUAUGCUGGGGAUGUGCUGUGCCAGGUAACUCAGAGAUAGAGCCUGCCAUUAUGCUAAUCAGGGUUGUAAAAUAUGUCAGACCCAAGUCUACAGAAACCAGGUGUCUUAAAGACAAGUUGUGCAGAACAAAGACAGUUAAUUAACUCUGACCUGCUGGUCACCCCUUAUGAACUGACCAAUAGCAGAUAGAUAAGAUGCCCACUGCUCCGCACUAACUGUAAUGAUUGGCUUCUGUAAUAAAUGCUUACAUUGCAGUUUUCCCCCUUAAAAACACCAGCCCUGCCCCAACUCAGGGUUCGCUGUUUCCACCUGUUUGGAGGACCCCGUGUACAUGGAAUAAUAAA